rnacentral:rRNA from 1 species
ACGGGAGGCAGCAGUGGGGAAUAUUGGGCAAUGGGCGCAAGCCUGACCUAGCGACGCCGCGUGAGUGAAGAAGUAUUUCGGUAUGUAAAGCUCUUUAAGCAGGGAAGAUAAUGACGGUACCUGCAGAAUAAGCACCGGCUAAAUACGUGCCAGCAGCCGCGGUAAUACGUAUGGUGCAAGCGUUAUCCGGAUUUACUGGGUGUAAAGGGAGCGUAGGUGGUUUGGCAAGCCAGAAGUGAAAACCCGGGGCUCAACUCCGAGGAUUGCUUUUGGAACUGUUGGACUAGAGUGCAGGAGGGGUAAGUGGAAUUCCCAGUGUAGCGGUGAAAUGCGUAGAUAUUGGGAGGAACACCAGUGGCGAAGGCGGCUUACUGGACUGUAACUGACACUGAGGCUCGAAAGCGUGGGGAGCAAACAGGAUUAGAUACCCUGGUA